rnacentral:rRNA from 1 species
ACGUAGGGAGCAAGCGUUGUCCGGAUUUACUGGGUGUAAAGGGUGCGUAGGCGGCAAUGCAAGUCAGAUGUGAAAUGCACGGGCUCAACCCGUGAGCUGCAUUUGAAACUGUGUUGCUUGAGUGAGGUAGAGGCAGGCGGAAUUCCCGGUGUAGCGGUGAAAUGCGUAGAGAUCGGGAGGAACACCAGUGGCGAAGGCGGCCUGCUGGGCCUUAACUGACGCUGAUGCACGAAAGCGUGGGUAGCAAACAG